UACGUAGGGGGCAAGCGUUGUCCGGAAUCAUUGGGCGUAAAGCGCGCGUAGGCGGCCAGAUAAGUCCGGUGUGAAAGUCCCAGGCUCAACCUGGGAAUGCCGCCGGAAACUGUCUGGCUAGAGUCCGGAAGGGGCCAGUGGAAUUCCCGGUGUAGCGGUGAAAUGCGCAGAUAUCGGGAGGAACACCAAUGGCGAAGGCAGCUGGCUGGGACGGUACUGACGCUGAGGCGCGAAAGCGUGGGGAGCGAACAGG
rnacentral:rRNA from 1 species